rnacentral:rRNA from 1 species
AGAGUUUGAUCAUGGCUCAGGACGAACGCUGGCGGCGUGCUUAACACAUGCAAGUCGAACGAUGAAGCUGGAGCUUGCUCCAGUGGAUUAGUGGCGAACGGGUGAGUAACACGUGAGCAAUCUGCCCUUGACUCUGGGAUAACUGCGGGAAACUGUAGCUAAUACCGGAUACGACACCUUGGGGCAUCCCAGGGUGUGGAAAGAAUUUCGGUCAAGGAUGAGCUCGCGGCCUAUCAGCUAGUUGGUGAGGUAAUGGCUCACCAAGGCGACGACGGGUAGCCGGCCUGAGAGGGUGACCGGCCACACUGGAACUGAGAUACGGUCCAGACUCCUACGGGAGGCAGCAGUGGGGAAUAUUGCACAAUGGGCGCAAGCCUGAUGCAGCAACGCCGCGUGAGGGAUGAAGGCCUUCGGGUUGUAAACCUCUUUUAGCAGGGAAGAAGCGAAAGUGACGGUACCUGCAGAAAAAGCACCGGCUAACUACGUGCCAGCAGCCGCGGUAAUACGUAGGGUGCAAGCGUUGUCCGGAAUUAUUGGGCGUAAAGAGCUCGUAGGCGGUUUGUCGCGUCUGCUGUGAAAAUCCAAGGCUCAACCUUGGACCUGCAGUGGGUACGGGCAGACUAGAGUGCGGUAGGGGAGAUGGGAAUUCCUGGUGUAGCGGUGGAAUGCGCAGAUAUCAGGAGGAACACCAAUGGCGAAGGCACAUCUCUGGGCCGUAACUGACGCUGAGGAGCGAAAGCGUGGGGAGCGAACAGGAUUAGAUACCCUGGUAGUCCACGCCGUAAACGGUGGGUGCUAGUUGUGGGCCACAUUCCACGUGGUCCGUGACGAAGUUAACACAUUAAGCACCCCGCCUGGGGAGUACGGUCGCAAGACUAAAACUCAAAGGAAUUGACGGGGGCCCGCACAAGCGGCGGAGCAUGCGGAUUAAUUCGAUGCAACGCGAAGAACCUUACCAAGGCUUGACAUAUAGAGGAAACGUGCAGAAAUGUACG